AGGUGCCUUGGGAAGUUCUAAUUUUUCCGACACUUUGAGAUACGGGAGACCGGACGUUGUGAUUUGGUGUGAACGCCUGCUACGGGCAGGAAUCCUAAAAAUUUACACAGGUUGCCCACCUGUAAUUACAGGGAAAAGAUCUCGCUUUCCAGGGCACUGA
rnacentral:other from 1 species